rnacentral:rRNA from 1 species
AACGAACGCUGGCGGCAUGCCUAACACAUGCAAGUCGAACGAGACCUUCGGGUCUAGUGGCGCACGGGUGCGUAACGCGUGGGAAACUGCCCUUAGGUUCGGAAUAACUCCCCGAAAGGGGUGCUAAUACCGGAUAAUGUCUUCGGACCAAAGAUUUAUCGCAUUUGGAUGGGCCCGCGUUGGAUUAGCUGGUUGGUAGGGUAAAAGCCUACCAAGGCGACGAUCCGUAGCUGGUCUGAGAGGAUGAUCAGCCACACUGGGACUGAGACACGGCCCAGACUCCUACGGGAGGCAGCAGUGGGGAAUAUUGGACAAUGGGCGGAAGCCUGAUCCAGCAAUGACGCGUGAGUGAUGAAGGCCUUAGGGUUGUAAAGCUCUUUUACCCGGGAUGAUAAUGACAGUACCGGGAGAAUAAGCUCCGGCUAACUCCGUG